rnacentral:rRNA from 1 species
UACGAACCGGACAAGCGUUAUUCGGAAUUAUUGGGCUUAAAGGGUGCGUAGGCGGCCGCGCAAGUCGGGUGUGAAAUCCCUCGGCUCAACCGAGGAAUUGCGCCCGAUACUGCGUGGCUAGAGGGAGACAGAGGCGAGCGGAACUGAUGGUGGAGCGGUGAAAUGCGUUGAUAUCAUCAGGAACACCGGUGGCGAAGGCGGCUCGCUGGGUCUCUUCUGACGCUCAGGCACGAAAGCUAGGGUAGCGAACAGG